rnacentral:RNase_P_RNA from 1 species
GGGGGGACACGGGUGCUCGCUCGUCGAGCGUGCUCGACGGGAGGAAAGUCCGGACUCCAAGGGCAAGGACGCUGGAUAACAUCCAGGCGGAGCGAUCCGACACCAGCACCACAGAAAACAAACCGCCGAUGGCCGGUGUGAGCGACUUCGGUCACUCCAUCGGCUCAGGUAAGGGUGAAACGGCGGGGUAAGAGCCCACCGCGGUGAUGGCGACAUCAACGGCACGGUAAGCGUCGUCCGGAGCAAGACCAAAUAGGGGGACGCCCGCGGGCUCGCAAGCGCUCAGCGGAAAGGCCGGCCCGGCCGAGGUCUCCGGGUAGGUUGCUUGAGGCUCGAGGUAACUCGAGUCCCAGAGAAAUGAUCACCCCCGUGUGAGCGCAAGCUUCACGCGGGACAGAAUCCGGCUUAUAGGGUUCCUCCAACG